rnacentral:rRNA from 1 species
UGCGGGCCGUGAGAGCGGGAGCCCGGAGAUGGGUACUGAGACAAGGGCCCAGGUCUCUACGGGGCGCAGCAGUCGCGAAAACUUUGUAAUAAGCGAAAGCUUGACAGGGCUAUCCCGAGUGCCAUCCGCUGAGGAAGGCUUUUACCCAGUCUAGAACGCUGGGGGAAUAAGGAGAGGGCAAGUCUGGUGUCAGCCGCCGCGGUAAUACCAGCUCUUCGAGUGGUGUGGAUGUUUAUUGGGCCUAAAGCAUCCGUAGCUGGCUAAGUUAGUCCCUUGUUAAAUAAAACGAAUUAAUCGUUGGAUCGCGGGGGAUACUGCUUGGCUAGGGGACGAGAGAGGCAGACGGUAUUUUCGGGGUAGGGGUGAAAUCCUAUAAUCCCGGGAAGACCACCAGUGGCGAAGGCUGUCUUCUAGAACGCGCUCGACGGUGAGGGAUGAAAGCUGGGGGAGCGAACCGGAUUAGAUACCCGGGUAGUCCCAGCUGUAAUCGAUGCAGCCCUUUCUUGAAUAGGGUCGUCCUCGUGCCGUUCUAGUGCCGCAGGGAAGCUGUUACUCCCCCAUAUGGACGUCGCAG